UUCCACAUACUCACAGGAGGGAAAUGGUC
rnacentral:piRNA from 1 species